AUACGUAUGUCGCAAGCGUUAUCCGGAUUUAUUGGGCGUAAAGCGCGUCUAGGCGGCUUAGUAAGUCUGAUGUGAAAAUGCGGGGCUCAACCCCGUAUUGCGUUGGAAACUGCUAAACUAGAGUACUGGAGAGGUAGGCGGAACUACAAGUGUAGAGGUGAAAUUCGUAGAUAUUUGUAGGAAUGCCGAUGGGGAAGCCAGCCGACUGAACAGAUACUGACGCUAAAGCGCGAAAGCGUGGGUAGCAAACAGGAUUAGAUACCCUGGUAGGCCACGCCGUAAACGAUGAUUACUAGGUGUUGGGGGUCGAACCUCAGCGCCCAAGCUAACGCGAUAAGUAAUCCGCCUGGGGAGUACGUACGCAAGUAUGAAACUCAAAGGAAUUGACGGGG
rnacentral:rRNA from 1 species